CCAAUAGCGUAUAUUAAAGUUGUUGCAGUUAAAAAGCUCGUAGUUGAACUUCAGACCUGGCUGGGCGGUCCGCUUAACGGCGUGUACUGUCUGGCUGGGCCUUACCUCUUGGUGAGCCGGCGUGCCCUUUAUUGGUGUGCGUCGGGGAACCAGGACUUUUACCUUGAGAAAAUUAGAGUGUUCAAAGCAGGCCUAUGCCCGAAUACAUUAGCAUGGAAUAAUAAAAUAGGACGUGCGGUUCUAUUUUGUUGGUUUCUAGAGUCGCCGUAAUGAUUAAUAGGGAUAGUUGGGGGCAUUGGU
rnacentral:rRNA from 1 species